UUCCUAUGUGGCUGUUGCUGCUAUACUAAAGAUGGCUGCCAACUUAUUUGCAAGGCAUGCUAGAAGGAGCCAGAUUCUGUCCCAUGAAGUAAGAAACCUCCUUAUUUGUGCCAGAUGCACAGCUCUUAUACCCGAAAGAGGAAUAAAGAGAGUACCAAAUAAACCUCGGAGGAAAGAUGGACAUGAGACCACUUCAUACAACCUGUACUGGGAAGAUAGACUCAAGAAUGUUCCAAGGCCUCCCUUAUGGAUACAGCCAGACAAAGCUCAUAGAAAAUCACCUGCUAAUAAAACUUCUCGUGCAUUCUCUACUGCAGAAAAAAGAAUUGCUGCUACUGCUGUAAUCACUAUGUUGGCUGCUGUAAUCUCAUUCAAGAUUGUUUUUGGGAAUAAAGAAAAAAAAGUGACAGCUGAAUCUGAUUCAAGUAAAUUGCCUGCAUAGCAAAUGUGGAUUUGAGAACAUUUGCAUCCACUGAGUCAUCUGUAUUUCCUCAUUUAUGGUGCUUCAAUUGCCUCACAUCAGAUGUAACCUUUGUGUAUUAUUCUCAUGAUGUUUAGUUUCUAUAAAUAGUAUUUGUAAUUAAAAUAAUGAUGAACUAGAAUGUUU